rnacentral:lncRNA from 1 species
AUAAUUUUAGGAAAAAACUUUAAAUAUCGCUUAUAUGGUUUCGUAUUUUCUCACUUUAGUAUUUUCUGAUUUAAAAUGUAUCACUUUCGUAUCCUAUAGUUUUAUUUUUUUUAUUAUUAUCUUUUUUUACUAUUUUUUAUUAAAUCAGUAAAAAAAUUAAAACUAAAGAAUACUAAAUUAAAUAUUCAACAAUGUAGAUAGAGUAUCUGUUUUGUAUAUGAUUUAACGAAAAAUUAAUAAAGAGUCUGACGAAAAAAAAAAAAACCACAGGAUAAUAAAUUAAUACACUUUAAACAACAAGAUACCAAAAUGAAAAAAUACGAAAUUACAGGAGUGGUAUUUGAAGUUUGCCUAUAAUUUUACAAAGCAACAAACAUUUAAAGAAUAUUCCAAUUUUCUAAAUACAAUUUACAAUGCCAU